rnacentral:rRNA from 1 species
CAUGUAGGCGGUUGUUUUAAGUCUGAUGUGAAAGCCCUGGGCUCAACCCAGGAAGUGCAUUGGAUACUGGAUAACUUGAGUACGGGAGAGGAAAGUGGAAUUUCGAGUGUAGGGGUGAAAUCCGUAGAUAUUCGAAGGAACACCAGUGGCGAAGGCGGCUUUCUGGACCGAUACUGACGCUGAGAUGCGAAAGCGUGGGGAGCGAACA